rnacentral:rRNA from 1 species
GGGUUGUGAGGUUAAGCGACUAAGCGUACACGGUGGAUGCCCUGGCAGUCAGAGGCGAUGAAGGACGUGCUAAUCUGCGAAAAGCGCCGGCGAGGUGAUAUGAACCUUUGACCCGGCGAUGUCCGAAUGGGGAAACCCAGUGCAAUUCGUUGCACUAUCGUUAACUGAAUACAUAGGUUAACGAGGCGAACCGGGGGAACUGAAACAUCUAAGUACCCCGAGGAAAAGAAAU